UACGGAGGGUGCGAGCGUUAAUCGGAAUUACUGGGCGUAAAGGGUGCGUAGGUGGUAUAUUAAGUUAUCUGUGAAAUUCCUGGGCUCAACCUGGGCGUGUCAGAUAAGACUGAUAGACUUGAGUAUGGGAGAGGGUAGUGGAAUUUCCGGUGUAGCGGUGAAAUGCGUAGAGAUCGGAAGGAACACCGGUGGCGAAGGCGGCUACCUGGCCUAAUACUGACACUGAGGCACGAAAGCGUGGGGAGCAAACAGG
rnacentral:rRNA from 1 species